AUCCUACGGGAGGCAGCAGUGGGGAAUAUUGCGCAAUGGGCGAAAGCCUGACGCAGCGACGCCGCGUGAGGGAUGAAGGUCUUCGGAUCGUAAACCUCUGUCAGCAGGGAAGAACGGUCACUGUGCUAAUCAGCAGUGAAUUGACGGUACCUGCAAAGGAAGCACCGGCUAACUCCGUGCCAGCAGCCGCGGUAAUACGGAGGGUGCGAGCGUUAAUCGGAAUUACUGGGCGUAAAGCGCUCGUAGGCGGUACGUCAAGUCAAGGGCGAAAUCGCCGCGCUCACUGCGGGAACUGCCUUUGAAAA
rnacentral:rRNA from 1 species